GUACUUUUCUAGAAAACUCAUAUUUCUUCUUCCCAAAAAACACUUCGUAUUCUCCGAUGAAACAAUUUUCUCAAUCUGAAGUUUCAUUUCAACAUUUAUUCUUUUAAGCCUGUUUGAUGCUGGAAAAUUUAACAUCUUAUUUUAUUUUUCUGAAAUUUAAGCAUGUAUGUUGAACGGAUAUUGAUGUUUAAAGAAUUGUGGAUUUUCAAGAGCUGUGUGAAAAAAAAUUGAUUUAUAUUUGUAAAAAUGACUCAUCAGAUUAAGCAACCUUGUAGAGAUCAUCUCUGUGAAAGAAUAGUCUGUGUUGAAUCUUCAAAUUUGAGUGGAUAUGCCUCGAGUUGUUGCUAUCAAUUCCCAAGCAUGCACUAAAGAGUGGAUUUCAUUUGAGAAAACGUAACCUUUACUUCUCAGAUACAGCACUUAUAUGGACUUUUGAUGAUAUUGUGGACAGCCUUGAGAAUGCUGGAGACGCUUCUGUUCUGCCGAUGCUAACGGCUGCCAGAUUAAUCAUGUAGCUGUUAGCUUUAAGAAGGAAAGGUUCGAUGGUCUCUACCUGUCAUGGCAUAGACAUCCAGGUUGCCUCACAGCUCCAGGGGAAUUUGCGCCCUUGAGUGUCCGAGGGCUGACAAUGCCAAAAAAAGGUUGCUCGUGUUGUUUCAUCAUUUAUGCAAGCGUGCUUUUCGGUAAUGUGAUCCACACUUUUUUUGGUGAGGUGGAUUUUUUUUUAUUCAACCAAGUUAUGUACAUGCUAUUCCAUGAGACCCUAGGAAUAUCUCUCUCAGGUAACUAUCCAAAUUAAAAUCAUCUUCAGUCCAAGAUUUGCUAGCCAGCAGUAGUACAGAUAUAGCACAUUCUAGGAAGGGUAUACACCUAAGCAGUUGAGUCUCUUGAUCAAUGAAAAUUGUCUCUGUUUUGGUUUGAAGUAUAAAAAAUCCAAGGGAUAAGUUAUCCCGGGAUAAAAUAAAAGAUCACUUAGUCCCUUGUUUGGUUGGAGGGAUUAAUCCAACCCGGGAUAACUUAUCCCACCAUUUUCCCCUUAGUGAUGGGAUAACUUAUCCCAUAUACAUGGUGUAUUAGUUAUCCCGGGAUAACAAUUUCCCAACCAAACGACCCCUAUUACAGUUUUUUCCCUUCUCACAAUUUAACUUGUAAUAUUAAAGUAAUUUAAAAUAAUAAUAACUAAUAUGCCAGGGAAAUGUAUCUCCAAAUUUUGAAAUUUUGUUGCAUGUUGAACCCAAUACAAAAUUCAGGGGAUUCGUUUGUGAGGGCUACUAAGAUGAGUCUAAUUGAUGAUCGUCAAGGUAGUUUGAAAUCAUUAGCUUGGGGAAGAUUCCUUCCAUUAGAACGGGUUCGUCAUUUGACCUAUUCUUCUCUGCAAAGUGUAUCAUACGAACAGAGCCAAGUAAUAUGAAAGUAAAGUAAUAUGAAAGUAAAGGAGUAAUUCGAGAGCGACAUCUGGUGGAGUUGCCUUUUGCGAGUAAAAUCAACAAUGCGAGAAGUAAGUGGUUUGAAAUUAGGUUCGUAACAUAAUCGUCUUUUGAAUCUGCCCAAAUAAUACCUUCUCGACGCCGGCAACGAAGAAGAUGACGAUGACAAUGUCAGUCUCUGAAAUGCAUUUUGAUUGCGUUGCUGCUGCAAGGAUUUUGUUUGUGCGAUUACAUUUAAAAGAGUGUUGCUUCAGUUGCUAUAUAUUGAUUCAUCUAUGACAAAUUGCCAAUGUAUUCAACAACACUGAUUCCUUUGAUUGUGAAGUUGCAUUUUGCCUAUAUUUUUCUGUGUUUUUUUUUUUUUGCCAUAAAAUGAAACCCAACAAUGUAUUUCAGUUGCUACAAAAGAGGCUUAAAAGCGUGUAUUUAUUUAUU